CGCACAUUGCGCCCACUAGUAUUCUAUUGGGCAUGCCUGUUCGAGCGUCAUUUCAACCCUCAAGCCCUGGCUGCUUGGUGUUGGGCACCUGCGGGUCUCGCCCGCAGGCCCCGAAAGACAGUGGCGGGCGCGCCGCGACCCCGAGCGUAGUAGUCUACACAUCUCGCUUAGGGCGUCCGGCGCCGUCUCCAGCCGUAAAGCCUCUCCCCGGAGAACUUACAAGGUUGACCUCGGAUCAGGUAGGAAUACCCGCUGAACUUAA
rnacentral:misc_RNA from 1 species